GCUUGUCUCAAAGAUUAAGCCAUGCAUGUCUAAGUAUAAACGAAUUUAUACUGUGAAACUGCGAAUGGCUCAUUACAUCAGUUAUAGUUUAUUUGAUGGUCCUUGCUACUUGGAUAACCGUAGUAAUUCUAGAGCUAAUACAUGCAUAAAACCCUAACUUCUGGAAAGGGUGUAUUUAUUAGGUACAGAACCAAUGCAAGCUCCGCUUGACCUUUUGGUGAUUCAUGGUAACCGAACGAAUCGCACGGCACCAGCUGGCGAUGGACCAUUUCAGUUUCUGACCUAUCAGCUUCCGACGGUAGGAUAUGGGCCUACCGUGGCAAUGACGGGUAACGGAGAAUUAGGGUUCGAUUCCGGAGAGGGAGCCUGAGAAACGGCUACCACAUCUAAGGAAGGCAGCAGG
rnacentral:rRNA from 1 species